rnacentral:rRNA from 1 species
GGUUAACCGUAUAGGGGAGCCGAAGGGAAACCGAGUCUUAACUGGGCGUUAAGUUGCAGGGUAUAGACCCGAAACCCGGUGAUCUAGCCAUGGGCAGGUUGAAGGUUGGGUAACACUAACUGGAGGACCGAACCGACUAAUGUUGAAAAAUUAGCGGAUGACUUGUGGCUGGGGGUGAAAGGCCAAUCAAACCGGGAGAUAGCUGGUUCUCCCCGAAAGCUAUUUAGGUAGCGCCUCGUGAAUUCAUCUUCGGGGGUAGAGCACUGUUUCGGCUAGGGGGUCAUCCCGACUUACCAACCCGAUGCAAACUGCGAAUACCGAAGAAUGUUAUCACGGGAGACACACGGCGGGUGCUAACGUCCGUCGUGAAGAGGGAAACAACCCAGACCGCCAGCUAAGGUCCCAAAGUCAUGGUUAAGUGGGAAACGAUGUGGGAAGGCACAGACAGCCAGGAUGUUGGCUUAGAAGCAGCCAUCAUUUAAAGAAAGCGUAAUAGCUCACUGGUCGAGUCGGCCUGCGCGGAAGAUGUAACGGGGCUAAACCAUGCACCGAAGCUGCGGCAGCGACACUAUGUGUUGUUGGGUAGGGGAGCGUUCUGUAAGCCGUUGAAGGUG